rnacentral:rRNA from 1 species
CCUACGGGAGGCAGCAGUGGGGAAUAUUGCACAAUGGGGGAAACCCUGAUGCAGCGACGCCGCGUGAGUGAAGAAGUAUUUCGGUAUGUAAAGCUCUAUCAGCAGGGAAGAAAAUGACGGUACCUGUUUAAGAAGCCACGGCUAACUACGUGCCAGCAGCCGCGGUAAUACGUAGGGGGCAAGCGUUAUCCGGAUUUACUGGGUGUAAAGGGAGCGUAGACGGCAGCACAAGUCAGGAGUGAAAUGCCGGGGCUUAACCCCGGAACUGCUUUGGAAACUGUGCAGCUAGAGUGCAGGAGAGGUAAGUGGAAUUCGUAGUGUAGCGGUGAAAUGCGUAGAUAUUAGGAAGAACACCGGUGGCGAAGGCGGCUUACUGGACUGUAACUGACGUUGAGGCUCGAAAGCGUGGGGAGCAAACAGGAUUAGAUACCCGUGUAGUC